AGAGGGUGCAAGCGUUAAUCGGAAUUACUGGGCGUAAAGCGCGCGUAGGUGGUUUGUUAAGUUGGAUGUGAAAUCCCCGGGCUCAACCUGGGAACUGCAUUCAAAACUGACUGACUAGAGUAUGGUAGAGGGUGGUGGAAUUUCCUGUGUAGCGGUGAAAUGCGUAGAUAUAGGAAGGAACACCACUGGCGAAGGCGACCACCUGGACUAAUACUGACACUGAGGUCCGAAAGCGUGGGGAGCAAACAGGAUUAGAUACCCUGGUAGUCCACGCCGUAAACGAUGUCAACUAGCCGUUGGAAGCCUUGAGCUUUUAGUGGCGCAGUAACGCAUUAAGUUGACCGCCUGGGGAGUACGGCCGCAAGGUUA
rnacentral:rRNA from 1 species